rnacentral:rRNA from 1 species
GUGGGGAAUAUUGGACAAUGGGCGCAAGCCUGAUCCAGCCAUGUCGCGUGAACGAUGAAGGCCUUCGGGUUGUAAAGUUCUUUAGCCGAUGAUUAUAAUGACUGUAGUCGGAAAAUAAGCCCCGGCUAACUUCGUGCCAGCAGCCGCGGUAAUACGAAGGGGGCGAGCGUUAUUCGGAAUCACUGGGCGUAAAGCGUGCGUAGGCGGUCUCGUAAGUUAGGAGUGAAAGCCCAGGGCUCAACCUUGGAAUUGCUCUUAAAGCUGCAAGGCUAGAAUCUCAGAGAGGAUAGCGGAAUUUCCAGUGUAGCAGUGAAAUGCGUAGAUAUUGGAAGGAACACCAGUGGCGUAAGCGGCUAUCUGGACGAGUAUUGACGCUGAGGCACGAAAGCGUGGGGAUCAAACAGGAUUAGAAACCCCUGUAGUCC